rnacentral:tRNA from 1 species
UCCCUGGUGGUCCAGUGGUUAAGACUCUGUGCUGCCAAUACAGGGGACAUGGGUUCACUUCCUGGUUGGGGAA